CUCUGCACAGGAUCUGUGACCUCCUCUGCACUGACUCAGCCCCCUGCCCUGUCUGUGACCCUGGGAGAAACAGUCAGCAUCAUCUGUCAGGGAGAAGACUUAGAAAGCAGUUAUGUUCACUGGCACCAGCAGAAGCCAGGCCAGCGUCCUGCACUGCUCAUCUAUGGUGACAGCGACCGGGUCUCAGGGGUCCCUGAUCGAUUCUCUGGCUCCAGUUCAGGUGGAACGGCCACCCUGACCAUCACUGGGGUCCAGGCUGAGGACGAGGCCGACUAUUACUGUCAGUCAUGGUAUGACAGUGAUAACCCUGCACAGUGA